rnacentral:rRNA from 1 species
AUACGUAGGUGGCAAGCGUUAUCCGGAAUUACUGGGCGUAAAGCGUACGCAGGCGGCCAGUCAAGUCUGACGUGAAAGCUCCUGGCUUAACUGGGAGAGGUCGUUGGAAACUGAUUGGCUUGAGGCAAUGAGAGGGACACGGAAUUCCCGGUGUAGUGGUGGAAUGCGUAGAUAUCGGGAGGAACACCAGUGGCGAAAGCGGUGUCCUGGCAUUGACCUGACGCUCAUGUGCGAAAGCGUGGGGAGCGAACGGGAUUAGAAACCCCGGUAGUCC